rnacentral:rRNA from 1 species
UAAGUACGAAGCCAGCCACAAGAUUAGAUUUCUUUCAGGGUCGUUGUAGACUACAACGUUGAUAGGACGUAGGUGUACAGGUGGUAACAUCACAGCCGAGCGUUACUAAUUGCCCGAUGACUUUCUUUUAUCCGCCUUCAAUGGUUUAUAUAUCCGUUUAGCUUCACUAUUUAUAUAAUAGACCGCUGAAUUUACUUUUGUACAUUAUG